AUGGUUUGCAGAACAUUGGCUACAGUAAGAACAUACUCUGCAUCAGAGAGGGUUCAACAUUAACAACGUCUGUAAAAACAGAAUCACAGCUGUCAAGAAGAGAGAGUUCAUCCAGAGACUGCACAAGGGAUUUGUACAGAAUAAAGCCUCACAAAACCCAAGGGCUGUCAGAGGGAAAUGGUAUCCAGGAGGACAGGGCAGGCCAAGCAUCCUCUCAACAGCAAAGCCACACAAGAGAGCCAGAGGCAGCACUGCGACUGCCAACACAACUGCCUAUUACGUCUGCCAAGGAGCCAGAAGCCGCUUGUGGGAAAAUAUCACUUACCCUUAGCAUCUGGGUCCUGUGAUUGUUAUCCAAAGAGACAGAGUGUGCUUUCUCCAUGUACUGUGAAACACAUCCAUCUGGAUCCACCUAUUUAAGCUACAUGCCUAGCCUCCAGAGUCAUCCAGACUUUUAGCAUAAGAACUCAAAUGAGAAAUCAUGAAGAAUGCAUUAACUGAAUCCAAUAUCACCUACAGGACCCUGGGCCCAUUGCACUUUGUAAUUGUAUUACUUUUCUUCUGGUUAUCUUCAUAGGAUCUUAGGUAUACUCUCUCUGAAAAGUGUUAAAGACAACUUCUCCCUGGGCCUGAGAAUAAAUUAUCUUUUUCCUAUCGCUGUA
ensembl:lncRNA LINC02032 long intergenic non-protein coding RNA 2032